GUGUGGAUAGCUCAGUGGAAAGAGCAAUCGGCAUAGGUCCGAUGAGUCGCGGGUUCGAAUCCCGCUCCGAAGCAGCA
rnacentral:tRNA from 1 species